AUAAUCAGCUACAGCACAUUUGUCAAGGGGCUCUGCCUGCGCCACUGGCUGCUUAGGCUGAAACUGCUGAGGAAACGGUGGACUAGCUUGUUGAAGUUGAGGAAACUGUUGACUAGCUUGUUGAAGUUGAGGAAACUGUGGACUAGCUUGCUGAAACUGCUGAGAAAACUGUGGACUAGCUUGUUGAAGUUGAGGAAACUGUGGACUAGCUUGUUGUUGAGCUGGCUGUUGAAACCGCUGGUCAGUUUGCUGGAACAUCAGAGCUUGAGGAUUCUGGGGCAGAUUACUCCACUGUGGAACAGCAUGACAGAAAGCACAAAACCACACACAAAGUGCCAGAAACUGAACAACACAC